rnacentral:rRNA from 1 species
ACGGAAGGCAGCAGUGGGGAAUAUUGCACAAUGGGGGAAACCCUGAUGCAGCAACGCCACGUGUGGGAAGAAGCAUUUCGGUGUGUAAACCACUGUCGUGAGGAAAUAAUGCUUGGCCUCGGCCAAGUUGAAUGUACCUCGAAAGGAAGCACCGGCAAACUUCGUGCCAGCAGCCGCGGUAACACGAGGGGUGCAAGCGUUGUUCUGAAUCACUGGGCGUAAAGGGAGCGCAGGCGGAGAUGCAAGCAGUCUGUACAAUACCGGGGCCCAACCCCGGACCUGCAGACUGGACUGUUUCUCUUGGAUAGUUCAGGGGCAGGCGGAAUUCCUGGUGUAGCGGUGGAAUGCGUAGAGAUCAGGAAGAACACCGAUGGCGAAGGCAGCCUGCUGGGGACUUAUCGACGCUGAGGCUCGAAAGUGCGGGUAGCAAACAGGAUUAGAUACCCUGGUA